rnacentral:ribozyme from 1 species
UGCCCAGCAACUCUUAUCCCUACCUCCACGUGGUACCGCACAGAAAAAAAAAUAUUCAUGUAAAAUUCAGCGACAAAUCAUGCACAUAAAGGGAAUG